rnacentral:rRNA from 1 species
UGCCAGCAGCCGCGGUAAUACGGAGGGCGCAAGUGUUACUCGGAAUCACUGGGCGUAAAGAGCGUGUAGGCGGAUAAAUAAGUUUGAAGUGAAAUCCUGUGGCUCAACCAUAGAACUGCUUUGAAAACUGUUUAUCUAGAAUAUGGGAGAGGUAGAUGGAAUUUCUGGUGUAGGGGUAAAAUCCGUAGAGAUCAGAAGGAAUACCGAUUGCGAAGGCGUCUACUGGAACAUUAUUGACGCUGAGUCGCGAUUGGAUGGGGCGCAAUCACGAGGAGAUU